rnacentral:rRNA from 1 species
CACUCCUACGGGAGGCAGCAGUGGGGAAUAUUGGACAAUGGGCGCAAGCCUGAUCCAGCCAUGCCGCGUGAGUGAUGAAGGCCCUAGGGUUGUAAAGCUCUUUCACCGGUGAAGAUAAUGACGGUAACCGGAGAAGAAGCCCCGGCUAACUUCGUGCCAGCAGCCGCGGUAAUACGAAGGGGGCUGGCGUUGUUCGGAUUUACUGGGCGUAAAGCGCACGUAGGCGGACUAUUAAGUCAGGGGUGAAAUCCCGGGGCUCAACCCCGGAACUGCCUUUGAUACUGGUAGUCUUGAGUUCGAGAGAGGUGAGUGGAAUUCCGAGUGUAGAGGUGAAAUUCGUAGAUAUUCGGAGGAACACCAGUGGCGAAGGCGGCUCACUGGCUCGAUACUGACGCUGAGGUGCGAAAGCGUGGGGAGCAAACAGGAUUACAAACCCCGGUAGUCCC